GACGUAGGGUCCAAGCGUUGUCCGGAUUUACUGGGCGUAAAGAGCGCGUAGGCGGCUUGUUAAGUGCGAAGUGAAAUCUCCAGGGCUCAACCCGGAAACUGCUUUACAUACUGGCAAGCUGGAGUGAUGCAGAGGUUUGUGGAAUUCCUGGUGUAACGGUGAAAUGUGUUGAUAUCAGGAGGAACACCCAUGGCGAAGGCAGCAAACUGGGCAUCAACUGACGCUGAGGCGCGAAAGCGUGGGGAUCAAACAGG
rnacentral:rRNA from 1 species